GCCUUCGUGGUGUAGUGGUCAGCACGCUCGACGCGUAACCUAAAGGUCCGUGGUUCGAUUCCCGGUAAAGGCG
rfam:Stegodyphus mimosarum contig121213, whole genome shotgun sequence.